AUUGAACGCUGGCGGCAGGCCUAACACAUGCAAGUCGAACGAGUGGCGGACGGGUGAGUAAUGUCUGGGAAACUGCCUGAUGGAGGGGGAUAACUACUGGAAACGGUAGCUAAUACCGCAUACCAUCGGAUGUGCCCAGGUGGGAUUAGCUAGUCGGUGGGGUAAAGGCUCACCUAGGCGACGAUCCCUAGCUGGUCUGAGAGAAUGACCGGCCACAUGGGAACUGAGACACGGUCCAGACUCCGACGGGAGGAAGAAGUGGGGAAUAUUGCACAAUGGGCGCAAGCCGGAUGCAGCAAGGCCGCGUGAAUGAAGAAGGUCUUCGGGUUGUAAAGUACUUUCAGCGGGGAGGCGGUAACCGAAGAAGAAGCAACGGCUAACUCCGUGCCAGCAGCCGCGGUAAUAC
rnacentral:rRNA from 1 species